rnacentral:rRNA from 1 species
UACGUAGGAGGCAAGCGUUGUCCGGAAUCACUGGGCGUAAAGCGCGUGUAGGUGGAGCAGGAAGUCUGCUGUGAAAGCGCCUGGCUUAACCGGGCGAGGUCGGUGGAAACUCCUGGUCUAGAGGCCGGUAGAGGGGGGUGGAAUUCCGGGUGUAGUGGUGAAAUGCGCAGAUAUCAGGAAGAACACCCGUGGCUAAGGCGGCUCUCUAGUACGGUACUGACGCUGAGACGCGAAAGCGUGGGGAGCAAACAGG